GACGAACGCUGGCGGCGUGCUUAACACAUGCAAGUCGAACGGAAAGGCCCUGCUUUUGUGGGGUGCUCGAGUGGCGAACGGGUGAGUAACACGUGAGUAACCUGCCCUUGACUUUGGGAUAACUUCAGGAAACUGGGGCUAAUACCGGAUAGGAGCUCCUGCUGCAUGGUGGGGGUUGGAUAGUUUCGGCGGUUGGGGAUGGACUCGCGGCUUAUCAGCUUGUUGGUGGGGUAGUGGCUUACCAAGGCUUUGACGGGUAGCCGGCCUGAGAGGGUGACCGGCCACAUGGGGACUGAGAUACGGCCCAGACUCCUACGGGAGGCAGCAGUGGGGAAUAUUGCACAAUGGGCGGAAGCCUGAUGCAGCAACGCCGCGGGCGGGAUGACGGCCUUCGGGUUGUAAACCGCUUUCGCCUGUGACGAAGCGUGAGUGACGGUAAUGGGUAAAGAAGCACCGGCUAACUACGUG
rnacentral:rRNA from 1 species